CUCACAGACAUUAGACUUACUUUGGGACCAAUGUCACAGAGAUGGAUAAGAACUACAGAUCACAAAAUGGCCGACCGCCAAAACUACAAGUCCCAGAAGCAAGGGGAACCCUCAGAAGGUGGAGCCAACUCACAGAUAAAGGGUCAAGAAAAACCAGGAAGAGGAAGAGAGAGUGCUGGAAGGAGCUAUGAACAAUAGAGAAAGAGACUAUAGAGAUUGGUUGGAUUUACCGUGUAUGAGCUGGAUUGUUUUGGACUUACCUGUUGGCGUUUGGACCUGGACCUACUGAGAACCCGAUUCGUGUACCGAACCCUGCUAUCCUUGACCUCGCCUACGGCCUGGGUGGACCAGGACGGAGAAACAAACAGACAGUAAUCUUUGGAGGGAGUUGAAAGUCCGUGUUGCCCAGCAUCAGCCCCAAAACAUCACUGCUCUAGAGGAGAUCUGCAUGGAGGAAUGGGCCAAAAUACCAGCAACAGUGUGUGAAAACCUUGUGAAGACUUACAGAAAACGUUUGACCUCUGUCAUUGCCAACAAAGGGUAUAUAACAAAGUAUUGAGAUAAACUUUUGUUAUUGAUCAAAUACUUAUUUUCCACCAUAAUUUGCA